rnacentral:rRNA from 1 species
ACUCCUACGGGAGGCAGCAGUGGGGAAUUGUUCGCAAUGGGCGCAAGCCUGACGACGCAACGCCGCGUGGAGGAUGAAGGUCUUCGGAUUGUAAACUCCUGUUGCCCGGGACGAAUGGCUUCGACCUAACACGUCGAAGUUUGACGGUACCGGGUGAGGAAGCCCCGGCUAACUCUGUGCCAGCAGCCGCGGUAAUACAGAGGGGGCAAGCGUUGUUCGGAAUUACUGGGCGUAAAGGGCGCGUAGGCGGCCUUCUAAGUCGAACGUGAAAUCCCCGGGCUCAACCCGGGAACUGCGUCCGAUACUGGAAGGCUUGAAUCCGGGAGAGGGAUGCGGAAUUCCAGGUGUAGCGGUGAAAUGCGUAGAUAUCUGGAGGAACACCGGUGGCGAAGGCGGCAUCCUGGACCGGUAUUGACGCUGAGGCGCGAAAGCCAGGGGAGCAAACGGGAUUAGAUACCCCGGUAGUCCUGGCCCUAAACGAUGAAUGCUUGGUGUGGCGGGUAUCGAUCCCUGCCGUGCCGAAGCUAACGCAUUAAGCAUUCCGCCUGGGGAGUACGGUCGCAAGGCUGAAACUUAAAGGAAUUGACGG